GUUUGCCCGCCUCGAUAGAGUUCCGCAAGCGUGUCGGAAUGUGAGGACCGUUCGACUACGUCGGUUCGCUGACUUCACCGAGUUGUUCUUCUUCCAAGCGGGAUCUCAGGCAAGAUGAUCAUUUCCCCAGAUACCAUUACUAUCAUUGCCAUGCUAGUUAUCGCUUCUAUCGUUUAUGUCUCGUUGCCUACCACAUGUUUCCAUAUCAGCCUCUCAACAAUGCCAUGAUUACCUUCAACCUGUUCGACCUAGCAAACCACUGAUUGGCUAUGUUACUGCUUGCUUAAUCCUGUUGAUAGCGUUGCUAGUUGCAGGUGCAGAUGCUUCCAUAUGAUAACAUGGGUCCCUUGUCAUAUCACCAUAUUAAUACUAUUUAAUUGAAUGCACCUAUAUACUUGGUAAAAGGUGGAAGGCUCGGCCUUUCUAGCCUGGUGUUUUGUUCCACCUUUGCCCUCUUAGUUCCGGCUACCGGUGUUAUGUUCCAUAAUUG
rnacentral:lncRNA from 1 species